rnacentral:lncRNA from 1 species
GCCGCUUCAUGGAACUUACUUCUUACAUAAGAUUCAAACCACUGCAUCCAGAGAAUGAAGUCAUCUGAAGAUAUGGUCCACAUGGGAUUUGUCACCUCCAUGGAGACCAGUGACCUCACAUCAUUGAAGACCAAGGCCCAUUUCUCAGAUCUCCUCGUCCUGCCCUCUAAGCAGCAUCCAGAAUUACUAGCCUCACCCUCCUCCUCAAUAUUUCCCUGGCCUGCCUUCUCCCUCUCUGGCUUCUCAGACUUCUUUAUAGGUUCAAACGGCUCCACCCCACCAUUAGCUAUUAAAAUCCCUGGUAAACUGCUAACAUCAAUGAACUGCUAGAAAACAGAUUCUCCCCAGACUCCCAUUUUAUACACACCCUACAGACUGAAUCUCAGAUUCUCUAAUCAGCAGGUGA